CACAAGAACCAGUCAGCAGAUACACAAAUAUACACACAAAUAUACACAACUACACACAUAAAUGCACACAAAUACACAUUAAAAGCUGUCUACAGUAGCAUACAGAAUGAGCCAACCCCCUAUGAGGCUGUAUCUUCAGGUUCUAUGAGGCCGUAUCUUCAGGUCCUAUGAGGCUGUAUCUUCAGGUCCUAUGAGGCCGUAUCUUCAGGUCCUAUGAGGUUGUAUCUUCAGGUCCUAUGAGGCUGUAUCUUCAGGUCCUAUGAGGUUGUAUCUUCAGGUCCUAUGAGGCUGUAUCUUCAGGUUCUAUGAGGCCGUAUCUUCAGGUCCUAUGAGGCCGUAUCUUCAGGUCCUAUGAGGCCGUAUUUUCAGGUCCUAUGAGGUUGUAUCUUCAGGUCCUAUGAGGUUGUAUCUUCAGGUCCUAUGAGGUUGUAUCUUCAGGUCCUAUGAGGCUGUAUCUUCAGGUCCUAUGAGGCUGUAUCUUCAGGUCCUAUGAGGCCGUAUCUUCAGGUCCUAUGAGGUUGUAUCUUCAGGUCCUAUGCGGCUGUAUUUUCAGGUCCUAUGAGGCUGUAUCUUCAGGUCCUAUGAGGCUGUAUCUUCAGGUCCUAUGAGGCCGUAUCUUCAGGUCCUAUGGGGCUGUAGCUUCUGGUCCUAUGAGGCCGUAUCUUCAGGUCCUAUGAGGCUGUAUCUUCAGCAGCUUUUAGCUCCAAUGACCUGCUGUAGAUGGAGGUAUCGUCUCUAA